GACGAACGCUGGCGGCGUGCUUAACACAUGCAAGUCGAACGGAAAGGCCCUGCUUUUGUGGGGUGCUCGAGUGGCGAACGGGUGAGUAACACGUGAGUAGCCUGCCCUUGACUUUGGGAUAACUUCAGGAAACUGGGGCUAAUACCGGAUAGGAGCUCCUGCUGCAUGGUGGGGGUUGGAAAGUUUCGGCGGUUGGGGAUGGACUCGCGGCUUAUCAGCUUGUUGGUGGGGUAGUGGCUUACCAAGGCUUUGACGGGUAGCCGGCCUGAGAGGGUGACCGGCCACAUUGGGACUGAGAUACGGCCCAGACUCCUACGGGAGGCAGCAGUGGGGAAUAUUGCACAAUGGGCGGAAGCCUGAUGCAGCACCGCCGCGUGCGGGAUGACGGCCUUCGGGUUGUAAACCGCUUUCGCCUGUGACGAAGCGUGAGUGACGGUAAUGGGUAAAGAAGCACCGGCUAACUACGUG
rnacentral:rRNA from 1 species